CCAUUGAAGCAACAUCACGACUCACUUCGUCAAAUACGGAUAGUUAGAAGUUGUGGGUCUCUUGGGACCUUCGCAUUGGAUCAAUUCCCAGCACUUCAGAAUUUGUCUCUACAUGGUUGUAAUAAUCUUGAAAUGAUUUCUAUUUCAGAGGGGCGUAACCAUGGGAAUCUUACAGCUUUGAGCAUUCUUAAGUGUCCAAAAUUCGUAUCCUUUCCGCAAGAGGGGUAUUCUGCCCCUGGGCUAAAUUUUUGCUUCAUUCAAAACUGACAGAGGGGGGUCUGCCAUCAAAACUGACGCAUGUUCGUUUCAACAGAUGCCCGAAACUAUUUGCAUGUCGAAUGCAAUGGUUUGCACGACUUGACCAUCGAAGGUGAUGAUGUGGUGGAGUCUCUACCUGAACCAGGACUACUCCCAAGUUCUCUUUCUUCUCUUGACAUCAGAAACUGUUCCAAUCUCAGAAUGUUGGACUACAAGGCUCUUUGUCAAUCGCCCUCCCUCAAAUAUUUGAUUAUAAUGUAUUGUUCGAGACUCCAAAGCUUACCCAAGGGGAGCCUCCCCAGUUCCCUUUCUUACCUUCGAAUACUGCGAUCUUGUCCAACGCUUAAACAAGGAUGCCAGAAACCAGAAGGGGAAGACUGGGAAGAGAUUACUCACAUCCCUUAAUUACAUUCAUAUUUAGCAGCCAAUCCUCAGUUUCUCUUUGCAUGACUGCCUGACAACAAGAUUCCCAUUAUAACACUAAGGACUUAUUUAACAGUAUUACAUACUUAUUUAUACUGAUAGAUGAUCGCUGCGCACUUUACAAAGAGACUUGAGUAAGCAGAGCUGAAAAAGGAAAGAAGCUGUUGAUGAUCCCAUCAUGGAAUUGUUCUUAGGCUUGAACAUUUGGA